rfam:Tursiops truncatus cont1.423266, whole genome shotgun sequence.
UAACCCGCCAAUCUGGGAGGCAGCAUUUGGUCCUCCUAUGCCUCCUUUCUCGUGAUGUGGUCUUUCUUCUGAAACAAAGAAGAAAUAGUCAAAUCAGAUUUGCCUUCUUGGAAAUGUGGUCCAGAUUGCUCUACUCCCAAGCUCCAAAAAA